rnacentral:lncRNA from 1 species
UUGAAAGAUAAACUUACAUAGAUGAAUAAUAACUAGUGAAUCGCAAAUUAGAUCACAAAGGAAAAAUCUCAAAAUACUGAUAAUAAUCUCUCAAAAAUAUUUGCUUUUUCAAGCCAAGAAAUUAGAGAGAAAAUAUCAAAAGUAUUGUCAAAACUCAAUGUGCGGAUAUCUCUAGAAAAUCCUAAAACAAAGCUUUAAAUAGUUCACCCUAAAUAAGGAAAUAAAAUCAAGGUUACAAAUUUUUCUCAGAAUAGACGACGACUAUUGGUAAAGCCUUAUCAGGAUCUUGACGACUUAUCAAGAAUGUCGUCAGGUCUUCUUCAAAUUUGCACUAGUCCUAUCUUAGGUUGACGGCAAAUUCUGACGGCUUAUCAGGACUGUGACGACUUAUCAGAAAUGUCGUCGAUUCUACCAGCUGGAACUCAUUCCCCGUUUGAGGCUGACGAUGGCCGUGAUAGCCUAUCACUGGGCUGAUGACCUAUCAUGAAUGUCGACAACUGCACUUGUCUUUUAAUUACUUCAGAUUUAAGCUCUUUUUCUUCCAUCCUUGUUGGUUCUCUAGCAUCUUAGCUUAUACUGCAAAAUCAAAGAUAAAACAAUAAAAAACGAUAAAAGUUGCUUACGACUUUGCAAUUAUUCUCAGUUAAAAGCCUCGAAUGUGUUAUCAUCAGUUCACACAUCAGGAUACAAAAUUAGGGAAAGGGAAAAUACAUGAUACAGUCCCACACAGGGGAGCAAAUCUAAAGUAAGCCUCCUUGGAAGUCCUUCGAUCUUAAACUUCUUGAAACGUGUGAAUAUCCUUCCAAUGAAGAUCUUUUGAUUAAAAGAAACUAUCUAAAUAAAAUUCUCAAACCCAAGGGACAAUGGUUCGUACAAUUUGGCAUUAUACCCUUCAAUUUAACACAUAAAAGAUGAUCGUCUGUAAUGACUCGUGGUCAAAUAGACGUAAGACAGAUUUUUGAAUAGGCCCAAUACCCCUCAAGUAUUGGGUUGUCCUAGGAUCAUGCCUAAACAAGAUUUUGAUUUCGCUCUAUCCUAGAUAUCUAGAGUAGGCCAGGAUCGAGAUCCCAAGUGGACAACUUGAGUUUGGAAAUACAAACAACCAUUGAACGCCUAAAGUGUCAAUAGACCAUUGUAUUUCCAACACUUCGUUUGAAAUUGAAUAAUAGGGGUUGGGACAUCCACGAAAUCCCAAACAAUUAAUAUAUUUCAAAUGAGAGUAUGCCAUGAAAUACAACAGUUAAAUAAUUGCAUAAAUUUAAACACAUAAUUACAAAGGUAACAAUUAAUACAAACAUUAACUAAACACAUAAAAUCCUUAUGGUCAGAACCUAGAUGAUUCCCCAACCAUUCUGUUACAAUCCAUUUUGAAAAGUCAAAAACAUUCUAUAACUUCGUGGAGAAAAAAAAAGAGGAGUCUUUAUUUGAUUUUAUUUGAAAAAAAUAAUUUAGAGCCACCACUUAAUUUUAUGAAAUUAAGAAAACCAUUUAAGCAAGGCAAAUUUUUAAAUAAAACCUUUAAUAAAAAUAACCAAAGUCUAGUUAAUGGUUCAAGUAAAUUCGAAAGAAGGUGUUAAGCACUUUUGAAAAUUCAAAAAGUGUGAUUACCGAUGGAUUAAACUUAUUGGUAUAAUUUUUAAAAAACUUUUAUUAAAUUAUCAAAAUGUUGAACUUAUUUUAGAAAAAUGUUGAAUUUAUUUAAUAAUCUCAUUUAAAAAUGAAUAAAAUUUAUUAAAACAUGUCCAUUCAUUUUAUUUCAAAGUUGUGACAUAAACUAAAUGUCGAAGUACCAACAUAAUUUUAAUUUUAACACUUUUAUCCGAAUUAAGACUUUAAGCUAAAGAAAUAACCCAACUGGUUAAACGUGGAUUUUGAGUCGAUAAUAACUAUGAAAGGAUAUAAGUAGAUCCUCAAAUUAUUCGUCGAACUUAAAUUUGUCUAAAAUAGAGAAAUUAAACAUCAAAAAUAUUAAAUAACCAACAUAAAUAAGUAAUUUCAAUAUAAUUUUCUCUCAAAGGAUUCAUUAAGAUUAAAUUAAAAUUACAAAAACAUAAUCAAAUUAAAUAUAAACAAAUAAAGGAGAAAGGAUGAGAUUUGGGCGUUUUGUAGCCCAUUUUAAAAUCUGCCCAGGUUUGGGCCUGUAAAGUUGUGGACUUUAAGUCCGUUGUCAGCCUUGUAUAUCAAAUGUAUAUCAGAAUCCUUCAUGCUUGCGUUUCACUGUAUACCGAUGCAUAUUCAUUGUAUAUCGGCGUAUAAAAUUGAUAUAUUCUAAUGUUGUAUACUACAGUAUACUACUGUAUACAACCCUGUUUCUGUCUUUGCUGCUGAUUAUAACCUGUAUAACUCAUGUAUACCAGCCCCAUUUGGACUUGAACUUGAGUCUGGGACUGGAAAGGACUGGGCCUCCAUGGCCCACUUGGGAAGAUACAAGAGAAGAGAGUCCAACGGGACUCAUAUCACAAAAGGGAUAAAAAUUAACACACGUUCUAAUGUAAAUUAACUGAAUAAUGCAAACCAAACUUAAUAAGCAAGAAAUAGUAAAAUACAUUCAUGCACAAGGAAAAGAGGGCGACGAUAAAAAACUAUUAACUACCAUGAAUGUUCGUGAAUUAUAGUUUUGUCAAAAUAAUAUGAGAAUAACAGUAGUAUGCAAAUAGAUGUUUAACAUGUCAAAAGAGGAAAAGGGUGAGCUUUAUCAAUUAUAUUAUUACAUUUGUACAUUGAAGUGAACCAAAACAAAUUCAGAAAAGUAAACUAAUCUUUUAACAAAUACUUCCUAAAAGAUAUAAGAUGGCAUUUCAAAUAUAUUUGCUUGCAUGUUUACGUAUAGGAAACCAGCCAUCUUUGCUUUAAGACUGAAAAUAUUAGACUGCAAAAUAACAACAACUCAAAAUCUCUUUAAACAAAAUCUAAAAACUGCUAAGCCAAACCAACAGGAAAACUGUAAACAUAUUUCAGAUUGAUGCAACAGAGAUGAAACCAAAACCUUUAAUCAAGAAGCAAAUCGCAAAAAAUGCAUAAACUUGACAGUGAAAUGAAGACUAAAAGUAAGAAAAUUAAUCCUAAGAUCUUAUGUCAAAUCACAGUCAGCAACCAAUUUGAAACAAAGCGUUAAAUCAAUAAUUUGGAACAAAGCGUUAAAUCAAUACGACCAUGAAUAUAAGAUAAACCAAAAAUUCAAACAUAACGACAAUUAAAAUCCAAACAUUAAUAAUAGGAGAAACGCUAAGCUAAAAUGAUGACUGAUAAAAGACAAACAGUUACCAUACUGCGUAAAUCACAAUCAAGGUUACGACUAAAUCUUGGGCCUCAAAACAGCUUUCCGAAAAUAAGAACUAGACUAAGAAACACGUUUAUCAAAAAAACCCUAUAGCCUUCUACAGCAAACAAUCCCACCAAUACUACAAAAUUGCUACUAGUACGAAGAAGGGGAAGAAGUAACGGAGAAAUUAAAAAUAGAAAAACGUGUUUACCUUUUUUUGGGCAACGAACUCGGGAUGACGAGUCAACGAGACUUCACGUCUUUCCUUGAAUCGAGAACAACAAAAAAACACGAAUCUGGAACCAAAAUUCUCACAACUCCAAGUUGGGGACCAAAGUUCGAACCCUAACCGAGUAGAGAAUUUUUAGUCCCCUUUUUGGUUCCGAAAAAAUCCUCUUGAACAGUGGAAUAAAUGGGUUUAUAUAUAGAAACCCAAAAAUCUCAAAUCUUGACUGUGGGGUUGAAAAAUCGGGGGCAAUUUUGUGAUUUUAAUGAGGAAUCUUCUUGGAAGAUAACGGUAUGAGCUGGAAUCAAACAAUUAUGUAUUGGAAUUUUAAACAUUGGCAGAUGAGACAUUGUUGGACAAGCUGGAUUUCGUGGGUUGUACGCCGGUUUGACUGGUUCUGGGUCGGGUUGCCGUUGAUUUAGCUGGUGGGGUCGGGCCGCGGUUUGAACUUGUUGGUUAUAUUGUCGUUGUUUGUGUGAUACGCUAGCUGAAGCUGGUGUUGGGUUUUGUUGGGCUGAAAUUGGUCUUUGUUGUGGCUGUUAUUGGUUUGAUCACUGAUGGUGAUUAAAAGGGUGGACCGGGUCAAACGAUUUUGGGCCUAGAGUGGUGGCUGACUGUUGGUUUUUAUUAUAUGGGCUGGAUUAAAAUUAAAGAGGAAGAAUAGGAGAAUUAGGAGUCUAGGAUUGGGCUAUUCAUCAAAUUGCCCUAGGCUAAAAUUUUUAGUCAAUAUAUUUAAAUUACAACCAUAAUGAAAAUCAAUCCGCCAAUUAC